UACGUAGGGUGCGAGCGUUGUCCGGAAUUACUGGGCGUAAAGAGCUCGUAGGUGGUUUGUCGCGUUGUUCGUGAAAACCGGGGGCUUAACCCUCGGCGUGCGGGCGAUACGGGCAGACUUGAGUACUGCAGGGGAGACUGGAAUUCCUGGUGUAGCGGUGGAAUGCGCAGAUAUCAGGAGGAACACUGGUGGCGAAGGCGGGUCUCUGGGCAGUAACUGACGCUGAGGAGCGAAAGCGUGGGGAGCGAACAGG
rnacentral:rRNA from 1 species